CUACGGGGCGCAGCCGUGAGGAAUAUUGCACAAUGGGGGGAACCCUGAUGCAGCAACGCCGCGUGGAGGAUGACGCAUUUCGGUGUGUAAACUCCUUUAAUAUGUCAAGAAAAUGACGGUAGCAUAUGAAUAAGCGCCGGCUAACUCCGUGCCAGCAGCCGCGGUAAUACGGAGGGCGCAAGCGUUACUCGGAAUCACUGGGCGUAAAGGACGCGUAGGCGGGUUGAAAAGUCAGGUGUGAAAGCCUACAGCUUAACUGUAGAACUGCACUUGAAACUCUCAAUCUAGAGUAUGGGAGGGGCAGAUGGAAUUAGUGGUGUAGGGGUAAAAUCCGUAGAUAUCACUAGGAAUACCUAAAGCGAAGGCGAUCUUCUGGAACAAUACUGACGCUAAGGCGUGAAAGCGUGGGGAGCAAACAGGAUUAGAUACCCUAGUAGUC
rnacentral:rRNA from 1 species